ACGAACGCUGGCGGCGUGCUUAACACAUGCAAGUCGAACGGAAAGGCCUCUUUCGGGGGGUACUCGAGUGGCGAACGGGUGAGUAACACGUGAGUAACCUGCCCUUGACUUUGGGAUAACUUCAGGAAACUGGGGCUAAUACCGGAUAGGAGCUCCUGCUGCAUGGUGGGGGUUGGAAAGUUUCGGCGGUUGGGGAUGGACUCGCGGCUUAUCAGCUUGUUGGUGGGGUAGUGGCUUACCAAGGCUUUGACGGGUAGCCGGCCUGAGAGGGUGACCGGCCACAUUGGGACUGAGAGACGGCCCAGACUCCUACGGGAGGCAGCAGUGGGGAAGAUUGCACAAUGGGUGGAAGCCUGAUGCAGCAACGCCGUGUGCGGGAUGACGGCCUUCGGGUUGGAAACCGCUUUCGCUCAUGACGAAGCUUUGUGUGACGGUAGUGGGUAAAGAAGCACCGGCUAACUACGUG
rnacentral:rRNA from 1 species